AUUGAACGCUGGCGGCAUGCUUUACACAUGCAAGUCGAGCGGCAGCGCGGGGGCAACCCUGGCGGCGAGCGGCGGACGGGUGAGCAAUGCAUCGGAACGUAUCCCCGUAGUGGGGGACAACCCAGCGAAAGCUGGGCUAAUACCGCAUAUGCUCUACGGAGGAAAGUGGGGGACCCGCAAGGGCCUCACGCUAUGGGGGCGGCCGAUGUCCGAUUAGCUAGUUGGUGGGGUAAAGGCCUACCAAGGCGACGAUCGGUAGCUGGUCUGAGAGGAUGAUCAGCCACACUGGGACUGAGACACGGCCCAGACUCCUACGGGAGGCAGCAGUGGGGAAUUUUGGACAAUGGGGGCAACCCUGAUCCAGCCAUGCCGCGUGCGGGAAGAAGGCCUUCGGGUUGUAACCGACUUUGUCGGUAGAAAGGACACGUCCUAAUACGGACGUGUUCUUGUACGGUACCGGAAGAAUAAG
rnacentral:rRNA from 1 species